rnacentral:rRNA from 1 species
UACGGAGGAUCCAAGCGUUAUCCGGAUUUAUUGGGUUUAAAGGGUGCGUAGGCGGUUCUUUAAGUCAGGGGUGAAAGACGGUAGCUUAACUAUCGCAGUGCCUUUGAUACUGAAGAACUUGAAUACACUUGAGGUAGGCGGAAUGUGACAAGUAGCGGUGAAAUGCAUAGAUAUGUCACAGAACACCAAUUGCGAAGGCAGCUUACUAAAGUGUCAUUGACGCUGAGGCACAAGA